rnacentral:lncRNA from 1 species
GCUGAUGCCAUUUUAAGCCUCAGCACACCUGCACCCAGGCGCUCAUUAAAACAGCAUGCUGCUCCCCACUGCCUCGUGUUGUCUGUUGGCGCGCUGUCGGGGUUCGAACCGGUACAAGAACCUUUCACCUACCUGGUGCUUUGGCCUCAUCUGUAAGCUUUUCCACUGUCCUGAAACAAGAUAGAGAAUCUGAGCGGCCAGUCAUCUGCCCUAAGUGCUGCCGCCGAAGACUGAAUGUCCUGGAAAGUUUGCUGUCACAUCUCCAUUAUGACAAAAGCAUUGUGCCGAACAGAUGAAAAAAUGCAUUGUCAACGGAAUCUUUUAUGUUUGUUUGUUUUCCUUUAAGCAACUUUGCCUUACUUGUUGUAAAAGAUAAAUAAAUAUUUGUUCAUUUCCA